rnacentral:rRNA from 1 species
UACGUAGGGUGCAAGCGUUGUCCGGAAUUAUUGGGCGUAAAGAGCUCGUAGGCGGUUUGUCGCGUCGAAUGUGAAAACCCGGGGCUCAACUCCGGGCCUGCAUUCGAUACGGGCAGACUAGAGUUCGGCAGGGGAGACUGGAAUUCCUGGUGUAGCGGUGAAAUGCGCAGAUAUCAGGAGGAACACCGGUGGCGAAGGCGGGUCUCUGGGCCGAUACUGACGCUGAGGCACGAAAGCGUGGGGAGCAAACAGG